rnacentral:rRNA from 1 species
AGCGAACGCUGGCGGCAGGCCUAACACAUGCAAGUCGAGCGCCCAGCAAUGGGAGCGGCAGACGGGAGAGUAACACGUGGGAACGUGCCUUUUGGUUCGGAAUAACUCAGGGAAACUUGAGCUAAUACCGGAUAAGCCCUUACGGGGAAAGAUUUAUUGCCAAAAGAGCGGCCCGCGUCCGAUUAGCUAGUUGGUGAGGUAAUGGCUCACCAAGGCGACGAUCGGUAGCUGGUCGAGAGGAUGACCAGCCUCAUUGGGACUGAGACACGGCCCAAACUCCUACGGGAGGCAGCAGUGGGGAAUAUUGGACAAUGGGCGCAAGCCUGAUCCAGCCAUGCCGCGUGAGUGAUGAAGGCCUUAGGGUUGUAAAGCUCUUUUAGCAGGGAAGAUAAUAGACGGUACCUGCAGAAAAGCCCCGGCUAACUUCGUGCCAGCAGCCGCAGUAAG